UACGGGGGGAGCAAGCGUUGUUCGGAUUUACUGGGCGUAAAGGGCGCGUAGGCGGCCACCGCAAGUCAAUUGUGAAAUCUCCGGGCUUAACUCGGAAAGGUCAACUGAUACUGCGGGGCUAGAGUGCGGAAGGGGCAACUGGAAUUCUCGGUGUAGCGGUGAAAUGCGUAGAUAUCGAGAGGAACACCUGCGGCGAAGGCGGCUCACUGGCCCGAUACUGACGCUGAGGCACGAAAGCGUGGGGAGCAAACAGG
rnacentral:rRNA from 1 species